GCACACGUAGCUCAGCUGGGUAGAGCGCCGGUCGCGUAACCUGGAGGUCGUGGGCUCGAGUCCCAUCGAGUGCU
rnacentral:tRNA from 1 species